rnacentral:rRNA from 1 species
CGCAGCCGCGGUAAUUCCAGCUCCAAUAGCGUAUAUUAAAGUUGUUGCAGUUAAAAAGCUCGUAGUUGAAUUUCGGGGUCAGUAGGUUGGUCAUGCCACUGGUAUGUACUGGUCUCACUGAUUCCUCCUUCCUGAUGAGCCGUAAUGCCAUUAAUUUGGUGUUGCGAGGAAUCUGGACUGUUACUUUGAAAAAUUGAGUGUUUAAAGCAGGCUAACGCUUGAAUACAUUAGCAUGGAAUAAUGAAAUAGGACGUUCGAUCUUAUUUUGUUGGUUUCUAGGAUCGACGUAAUGAUUAAUAGGGAUAGUUGGGGGCAUUAGUAUUCAAUUGUCAGAGGUGAAAUUCUUGGAUUUAUUGAAGACUAACUACUGCGAAAGCAUUUGCCAAGGAUGUUUUCAUUAAUCAAGAACG